rnacentral:rRNA from 1 species
CUACGGGUUGCUGCAGUGGGGAAUAUUGCACAAUGGGCGCAAGCCUGAUGCAGCCAUGCCGCGUGUAUGAAGAAGGCCUUCGGGUUGUAAAGUACUUUCAGCGGGGAGGAGGGGAGUAUAGUUAAUACCUUUGCUCAUUGACGUUACCCGCAGAAGAAGCACCGGCUAACUCCGUGCCAGCAGCCGCGGUAAUACGGAGGGUGCAAGCGUUAAUCGGAAUUACUGGGCGUAAAGCGCACGCAGGCGGGUUGUUAAGUCAGAUGUGAAAUCCCCGGGCUCAACCUGGGAACUGCAUCUGAUAACUGGCAGCGUUGGGUUUCGAGGGGGGGGUUGGAAUUCCAGGGGUACGGGUGAAUGGGGUAGGGAUUGGGGGGAAUACGGUUGGGGAGGGGGGCCCCCGGGACGAGACCGACGGUUAAGGUGGGAAGGCGUGGGAAGCAAACGGGUUUAGUUACCCAGUAGUC